GGACUACUGGGGUAUCUAAUCCUUUUUGCUCCCCACGCUUUCGCGUCUCAGGGUCAGGAAGGUCCCAGUGCACUGCCUUCGCCUUUGGUGUUCCGCACGAUAUCAACGGAUUUCACCCCUACACCGUGCGUUCCAUGCACCUCUAACCUCCUCUAGUCUUGUCGUAUCUCCUCCACUUCCACCGUUAGGCGGUGGGCUUUAAGAGAAGACGCACAAAACCCCCUACACGCGCUUUACGCCCAAUAAAUCCGGAUAACGCUUGAGGUCUACGUAUUACCGCGGCUGCUGGCAC
rnacentral:rRNA from 1 species